rnacentral:tRNA from 1 species
GCUUAAAUAGCUUAAUGAGAGAGCAUAACAUUGAAGAUGUUAGUGUGAUGAUAAAUCUUUGAGUA